CAGAGGGUAGUUUAAUAAAAAUGCUAGCUUUGGGGGUUAGUGACGGGGGUUGUGUCCCCUUCCUUUGA
rnacentral:tRNA from 1 species